rnacentral:rRNA from 1 species
UACGUAGGGUGCGAGCGUUGCCCGGAUUUAUUGGGCGUAAAGGGCGCGCAGGCGGUACGGCACGUCCGUUGUGAAAUCGCUCGGCUCAACUGGGCGGGGUCAGCGGAUACGGCCGCACUUGAGCAAGCUAGGGGGCAAUGGAAUUCCCGGUGUAGUGGUGGAAUGCGUAGAUAUCAGGAGGAACACCGGUGGCGAAGGCGGGUCUCUGGGCCAUUACUGACGCUGAGGAGCGAAAGCGUGGGGAGCGAACAGG